rnacentral:rRNA from 1 species
CUACGGGCCGCACCAGUGGGGAAUAUUGGACAAUGGGGGGAACCCUGAUGCAGCAACGCCGCGUGGAGGAUGACGCAUUUCGGUGUGUAAACUCCUUUUAUAUGUCAAGAAAAUGACGGUAGCAUAUGAAUAAGCACCGGCUAACUCCGUGCCAGCAGGCCGCGGUAAUACGGAGGGUGCAAGCGUUACUCGGAAUCACUGGGCGUAAAGGACGCGUAGGCGGGUUGGAAAGUCAGGUGUGAAAUCCUACAGCUUAACUGUAGAACUGCACUUGAAACUUCUAAUCUAGAGUAUGGGAGGGGGAGAUGGAAUUAGUGGUGUAGGGGUAAAAUCCGUAGAUAUCACUAGGAAUACCUAAAGCGAAGGCGAUCUCCUGGAACAUUACUGACGCUAAGGCGCGAAAGCGUGGGGAGCAAACAGGAUUAGAUACCCGCGUAGUC